UACGUAGGGGGCAAGCGUUGUCCGGAAUCAUUGGGCGUAAAGAGCGUGUAGGCGGCUUGGUAAGUCCGCUGUGAAAGUCCAGGGCUCAACCCUGGAAUGCCGGUGGAAACUGUCAGGCUCGAGUCCGGAAGAGGCGAGUGGAAUUCCUGGUGUAGCGGUGAAAUGCGCAGAUAUCAGGAGGAACACCAAUGGCGAAGGCAGCUCGCUGGGACGGUAGCUGACGCUGAGACGCGAAAGCGUGGGGAGCAAACAGG
rnacentral:rRNA from 1 species